rnacentral:rRNA from 1 species
GAUGAACGCUGGCGGCGUGCUUAAUACAUGCAAGUCGAACGGAGUAUGUAGCGAUAUAUACUUAGUGGCGAACGGGUGAGUAACGCGUUGGUGACCUGCCCCGAAGAGAGGGAUAACAGAUCGAAAGGUCUGCUAAUACCGCGUAAGUUAUGAGUAGUUAGAGAGCUCAUAAGAAAGCCGAAAGGCGCUUUGGGAGGGGCCUGCGUCCCAUCGAGCUAGUUGGUAGGGUAACGGCCUACCAAGGCGAUGACGGGUAGGGGACCUGAGAGGGUGGCCCCCCACAAUGGAACUGAAACACGGUCCAUACACCUACGGGUGGCUG